UUCUAAUGACUUGGACAACUUUUGAAUUUGUUCCUGUGAAGUCAGUUAAUAUUGGUGGAAAUCAAGGACUUUUAAUAGAACUGACCUUACUGUUUCAAGUUUUUAUUAUUGGCUUCUCUUUCUGGCUGGAUGAUGCUUAUUAGUUAUUGUCUCCUUCCUGUUUUGAUUCCUUUCGCUUACAUUCUUUUAUACCGUUAACUCUAAGACUUUUCAUCAUACUCUAUGAUCUUGUGCCCUAAAUUCAAUUUAUUAAAGUUGGAAGGAGAAAAGGAAUACAAAUAAAGCUGUAUUUGCCAUGCAAUUAUCUCAUGAACCCUUAGCAAUUUUCUGAAUUAUCACCACUGCUGUAACUUACCUGCUAACCGUUCUAGUUCAAAUCCGUUCAGCCAUAACAUUUUUUGUGGUAAAAUGAUUUUCUUAAUCCUGAGAGUCUUCAAUUACAUUGAAUGGGUACAAACAGUUCUGUUAUUUAAGGAUCUAUACUGUAGUCUAAGCUUAGAUCUAAAGACUGAGAAGCACAGCACAGAGACACAGUGUGGUAUGACAUGACACAUGGUGACAAAUGAGUUACUUGAAAAUUUCAAACGGGUACACCAAUGCACAAUAAUAAUAAAAUAUUUUUUAUAGAAUAAUGUACACUAAAAAUAUAAAGUUGAUGCUUUCAAAUCAAAUAUUAGCAUGAAAAUAGCUUUCUAUUUCUUUUAAAAGUUUUGAUUUUAAAAGCAUGAACCUAUAAUACCCAUUAGGACCAAAUAGCUCAAAUUCCAAACCCAGAAUGCCCUAAAUCAUCAUAUUCUAAAUUACUCAACAAGAGAAACCUCCAUACUUGUCUCAUCGUUUUCCUCUUUGUCUACUCUCUUUCAUUCUCAGUCCUCAUAACACAUUUGCAUAACUCUUUCCUGCAUUUAACUCUCCAUUCUUGUAAUUUCUCUCUACAUCUUCUUUUCCUUUAUGGAUUUCAAGCAUUUAAGUUCCUUAGGAUAUGGGCUUUUGCUCAUUGUUAAUUCUGUAUUGGAGAAAAAAAUGCCAAGAAAAAAAAUCGUGUGACCAACAUGUCUUGACGUUGUCCAAUUUUAUUUUAUUGACAUGUCCUCGCAUGUAUAUGUAUUCUGCUGUGUCAGAGCCUUCUCCAACAAUUGGAAACUCCCCUGCAAUGAGUGUUCUUUCAUCAUAACCGAUGCAAGAUUACCUUGAUUGCAUUAUGUUGUCAAGAACUUGUCUAUUCCUAAGACAAAGUUAGACCAACAAAAGGUUGAACACUUCAAUCAAGCAGACAAACCUAUUGCCCUUAAAAAGAUAUUUGUUCUUCUCAUAACCCCCAUCUAAUUUACAAUCUUAUGAGUUAUCACCGAUUAACACCCUCAUAUUAUGCCUUCACCUUGUCUUUAUCCAAUGUGCCCAUUCCUAAGACUGAGUUAGAUCAGUAAAAGAAUUACCCGGUUAAGCAACUGAAGUAACGAUUGAUGAUUUUUGUCUCGAAGCCUGAUACUGUAAAUACUCAUCAUAAUCUAAUCCAGACAACAUGACAGAUUUGGCACCUUAUUAGCAGUGGGAAGAGGAAGAAUCCCAUCUCCUUGAGCUUGGGCCACAUGAGCAGUGGGCCAAUUAUUACGAGAGGGUUGACCAUGAAGAUCCCAACAUGUAUCACGUCACAAAGGAUUCUCCCUCAACUUGGUUUGGGUUGGAGGAGAUUCAAAGUAACCGAGCCGUCACAUCAUCAAGAGUGGGAAUGAUUGGGCUAGCAAGGAUUUGAUCUCAGACUGAAGCUAAGUCAGUUCGCAGUCCUAUCAAAGCAAGCACCAUAAAAAAUGUCCCGCUGCUACUCUUGUUCAGUAACACUUUCAGAAAAAGGCAUAAGAACAUUAAACUUGCUUUUCAAGGUUUCAACCUGACCCAAAUAGCUUGACAUAUCCUAUUGAUUCUGCUAAAGAUUAACAAGAUCUGAGGCAAUCUUAUAAAUUCGCUGAAUAUAAUUAGUGUAUAAAUUCUUGGCCUUAGCCCACACUUUGUAACAUGUUUUACAAGAUUGAAACAAAGUGACUAGCUUUGGCUCAAGAGAAUGCCAUGACAGACUACAUAAUUGAGCAUCAAGUCUAGCCCAGGUAUCUUUAUCCUAUUCAUCGAUCUAAUUAGCUUCUUUUUUCCAAGUGGUCCUUGAAACCUUCUCCCAUAAACCAGAGUUCAACCGAAGCCACCCGUGACACAUAGUUACUGCUACCUUGAAGUUUGACGGUGGUAAUUUCAAGGGAACUAGGCAGUGAAGAGAAUAAAGGUUUAUAGACUCAAUAUUGAAGAGAGUCAAGGAAAAAUACCAACGGGUGGAAAUAGUAGGUCAAUAACACCACUGUGGUCGGGAGAGGAGUGUCCACCUUUAGGGAAGACUCGCGGUGUCGAACAGUGGCCAGAGAAGGUCUAAUGCAUGCUCACUCGUCAUCACGUGGGAGGGGCAAAAAAAGGGUGGUGGUGUUUGUGGCUCACACGCAUGCUUUUCGGUGGUCAAAGGACGGUGGGUAUUUCAAUGGGAGGGGUGGUGAGACUUUAUUGGCUUUGAUACCAUGUAAAUUUGAGUGAGAGAAGAAGAAGAAGUGAGAAGAGGCUGCUGUUACACCUAACUGUUUGACUGUAAUAGCCAUGAGAAAAUAGUAAAAGAAGAUGACAAAUAGAGUGAAAGGAAGAGAGGUUAAUUCUAAAAUGUAUUUCUUGCAUAUGUACAUUAUGUUACAUAACCUAUUUACAAAGAAGGAAAGUUUAAUAUAUGAUACGCCCAACUUUAUGCAAGUCAAUCCCUAGAAUCAUGACACAAUAAUUCCCUAA